AUAGCCCAGGGAAACCUGGAUUAAUACCGGAUGAGACGGGACCCGCGAUGGCGGGACCCGGGAAAGGCGCUGCGGCGCCGCCGGGGGGAUGAGUCUGCGUCCCGAUUAGCUAGACGGCGGGGUAACGGCCCACCGUGGCGACGAUGGGUAGCCGGCCUGAGAGGGUGACGGCCACAUUGGAACUGAGACACGGUCCAGACUCCUACGGGAGGCAGCAGCUAAGAAUCUUCCGCAAUGGGCGAAAGCCUGACGGAGCGAACCGCCGCGUGAACGAAGAAGGCCGUGAGGGUUGUAAAGUUCUUUUCGGGAGGGGGAACAACCGUGGCAGGGAAUGGCCGCGGGAUGACGUGAAUCCCGGAAUAAGCCCCGGCUAACUACGUGCCAGCCGCAGC
rnacentral:rRNA from 1 species